rnacentral:ribozyme from 1 species
UACCCAGCAACUCCCAUCCUUACCUCCGCGUGGUACCGGCUGGAAACUAUGAGCAACUUUAGGGAAGAUCGGGUAACCAACCCCAUUGGGAACUUUGGUCGUGCGCUGACAGGGGAGG